AGCCAAAUUUCAACAGUUUCGUAACACAUAUGGGCCUUCUUGGGUAAGCUUUAGCUUGCAGUUUAAAUGUGGUCUGAGCUGUGAUGAUGCAUCUGGGGAGAGAAGACAGACAGACUAUAUCACAGUGAAUGAAGACAAGAACACCCACAUCUGCAGUCGAUGCCCCAGAGAAUCCUUUGCUCUGGCGGAGAAUGUUUCAUGGUGUUAUGUUUAAACACAAAGGUGGUGCACUAUGGGAUUGAGGGAUCAAAUUGAGAAACCUAGAAGCUCCAUAAACUGAUAGAAAUGUGAAGCAUGAAGAAAGAAACACACAGAAAGUGAGAGAGAGAGAGAGAGAGAAUGAAACUUGUAUAGAAAGUUUAGUAAAAGGAAAUAGAAACAGUAAGGAGAGAGUGUAGCUGAGAAAUUGAAUGCUCAGUGGAGAGAUGUGAAGAGAUAUAUAGAGAUAGAGAAAGAGAGAUGAGAUGAGAUAUAUAGAGAUAGAGAAAGAGAGAUGAGAUGAGAUCCAGGGGUCUACUUCCCUUUGGAACUUCUUUCAGGAGAAACAGAAGCCUAAAGCCUUUACAUUCCACAUUCUCUGGCAAAAAACUAUUUUCUGAAGAAAAAGACACCCAAAGUCUUUCCACAUCGUUCCACACACACGCACCAGCAGCAGACAGUAGCUCUGCAGCAGCGGCGUAAUUGAAGCCCUGCUCUCGAAACCAAAAGUGCUAAAUGUGUCAGACAGGUAGGGAACAAACUCCUCGGUAAUUACACAUAAUUAUUAUGUGCUAUGACUUGAUAAAAGCUUUGUUAUAUAUAUAUAUGGAGGGAUAUAUAAGAGGGAUGUCAUUUGACAAGGAAAGUGUUGUCUUCCAAAGGUGUGUAUGGUGCAAGUCUCUUGCCCUCCCUCUAUGCUGUUUUAUAGAUUCCUCCCCUUCCUCCUCAUUUCUAUUUAAGGCCAUAUAAAAAUGCAGUUAUAGUUUAACACUGUGUGUGUGUGUGUGUGUGUGUGUGUGUGUGUGUGUGUGUGUGUCUUAAUUGUAUAUUCUACAAUAACACCAAAAGUGGGUAUAUGUCCUAUUUAAACAAAUGUGUCCUGUUAAACUUUUUCACAUUUAAAGUAAGCCAGAUUAUGCUUUCACUUUGAGGUUGGUGUGUGUGUGUGUGUGUGUGUGUGUGUGUGUGUGUGUGUGUGUGUGUGUG